GGAGCUGGAUCCGGCUUCCGGAAGGUGAGGGCCGGCGGGCAGGGGCUAGGCAGGCGCGGACGCUCCGUCCCGACCUCACGCGUGACACCGUGAGGGCCAGACGCCAGCCCCCGCGCCGCCCCCUGUGCCUUUGAGGUUGGGCCCGUUCUCAGACUCCAUCUCCGGCCGGGCCGCGCGCCCCGCACCCUCCUGGGCUGGUGUCUCGCAGCUGGAGCUGGUGAGCAGGCUGCUGCACCUGCACUUCAAGGAUGACAAGACCAAAGUGAGCGGGGAUGCGCUGCAGCUCAUGGUGGAGUUGCUGAAGGUCUUCGUUGUGGAAGCAGCAGUCCGCGGGGUGCGGCAGGCCCAGGCAGAAGACGCGCUCCGUGUGGACGUGGACCAGCUGGAGAAGGUGCUUCCGCAGCUGGUGCGUGAGCAUGGGUCGGGGCGCAAGUGGGGGUGCCCGGCUGGCUGGCCCUAAGUGCUUCUCUCCCCCACAGCUCCUGGACUUCUAGGGAUCUCAGCCGUGGCUGAAGCCACCCCCAGAGGAGCCCCUGGUCCACAGAAGCAGGCCUUGUGUUUCCAGCGGCCUCUGAUAACAGGCAGGGAAGGACCUGAGGGAUUUGGAGUUGAUUCAAACAAGAUCUCUGGGAGUCUCCAGCCUGUGCAGAAGGGGCAGGACUGCAGCACGCUGCUGGCCUUGGAGUGUCCAGUGGGGACACUGGUGUGGGAAGGGGCAGCACCUGGGGAGUCCCUGCCUCUCCUCCCUGGGGCAAUAGUGUGCAUGCAUGCCACCUGGGGUCCUACAGGCAGGUGCUGGGAAAGGCCUGGCCAGCAGGUAGCCUGUGUGUUUGACAAACAGCGGCUGGCAGCGCUGCCUCCUGCC
rnacentral:sRNA from 1 species